rnacentral:tRNA from 1 species
UGGUGUGGCUCAGCAGGUAGAGCAAUUGAUUCGUAAUCAAUAGGUCGGCGGUUCGAAUCCGCCCAUCA